rnacentral:rRNA from 2 species
ACGGGUGAGUAACGCGUGGGAAUCUACCCAUCUCUACGGAAUAACUCAGGGAAACUUGUGCUAAUACCGUAUACGCCCUUCGGGGGAAAGAUUUAUCGGAGAUGGAUGAGCCCGCGUUGGAUUAGCUAGUUGGUGGGGUAAUGGCCUACCAAGGCGACGAUCCAUAGCUGGUCUGAGAGGAUGAUCAGCCACACUGGGACUGAGACACGGCCCACACUCCUACGGGAGGCAGCAGUGGGGAAUAUUGGACAAUGGGCGCAAGCCUGAUCCAGCCAUGCCGCGUGAGUGAUGAAGGCCUAGGGUUGUUAAGCUCUUUCAACGGUGAAGAUAAUGACGGUAACCGUAGAAGAAGCCCCGGCUAACUUCGUGCCAGCAGCCGCGGUAAUACGAAGGGGGCUAGCGUUGUUCGGAUUUACUGGGCGUAAAGCGCACGUAGGCGGAUAUUUAAGUUAGGGGUGAAAUCCCAGAGCUCAACUCUGGAACUGCCUCUAAUACUGGGUAUCUAGAGUUCGAGAGAGGUGAGUGGAAUUCCGAGUGUAGAGGUGAAAUUCGUAGA